UUUGAGUUUUAACCUUGCGGUCGUACUCCCCAGGCGGUGUGUUUAUCGGUUUCCUGCGACACUGAAAAUAAAUUUCCAACGUCUAACACACAUCGUUUACGGCAUGGACUACGAGGGUAUCUAAUCCUCUUCGCUACCCAUGCUUUCGUUCCUCAGUGUCAGUAAUGAUCCAGAAAGCUGCCUUCGCAAUUGGUAUUCUUUCUAAUAUCUACGAAUUUCACCUCUACACUAGAAAUUCUGCUUUCCUCUAUCAUACUCUAGCUGAAAAGUUUUGAUGGCAGUUCCAGAGUUAAGCUCUGGGAUUUCACCACCAACUUUUUCAACCACCUACGAACUCUUUAAGCCCAGUAAUUCCGAACUACGCUAGGUCCCUUCGUAUUACCGCGGCUGCUGGCACGAAGUUAGCCGGACCUUCUUAUUCGGGUACAGUCAUUUUCUUCCCCGACGAAAGGGCUUUACAACCCAAAGGCCUUCUUCACUCACGCGGCAUCGCUGCAUCAGAGUUUCCUCCAUUGUGCAAGAUUCCCCACUGCUGCCUCCCGUAGGAGUUUGGGCCGUGUCUCAGUCCCAAUGUGGCUGAUCAUCCUCUCAAAUCAGCUAUUGAUCAUAGUCUUGGUAGGCCAUUACCCUACCAACAAACUAAUCAAGUGCGGGCUCAUCCAAUGGUGCAUAAAGCUUUCUCCGUAAAGACUUAUCCGGUAUUAGCACAAGUUUCCUCGUGUUAUUCCAGGCCAAAGGGUAGAUACCCACAUGUUACUCACCCGUCUGCCACUAAGUAUUGCUACUUCGUUCGACUUGCAUGUGUUAGGCGUGCCGCCAGCGUACGUUCUGAGCCAGGAUCAAACUCU
rnacentral:rRNA from 1 species